ensembl:miRNA
AACUAUUCUUAGGUUGAUGCAGAAGUAACUACAGUUUUUGCAGUUGAAAGUAAUGGCAAAGACCGCGACUACUUUUGCAACAGCCUAAUAGUUUCU